rnacentral:rRNA from 1 species
GACGAACGCUGGCGGCGUGCCUAAUACAUGCAAGUCGAGCGGACUAAUGGGAGCUUGCUCCCGUUAGUUAGCGGCGGACGGGUGAGUAACACGUGGGCAACCUACCUGUAAGACUGGGAUAACUUCGGGAAACCGGAGCUAAUACCGGGUGACAUAAAGGAACUCCUGUUCCUUUAUUGAAAGAUGGCUUCGGCUAUCACUCACAGAUGGUCCCGCGGCGCAUUAGCUAGUUGGUGAGGUAACGGCUCACCAAGGCGACGAUGCGUAGCCGACCUGGGAGGGGGAUCGGCCACACUGGGACUGAGACACGGCCCAGACUCCUACGGGAGGCAGCAGUAGGGAAUCUUCCGCAAUGGACGAAAGUCUGACGGAGCAACGCCGCGUGAGCGAUGAAGGCCUUCGGGUCGUAAAGCUCUGUUGUUAGGGAAGAAUAAGUGCUAGUUGAAUAAGCUGGCACCUUGACGGUACCUAACCAGAAAGCCACGGCUAACUACGUGCCAGCAGCCGCCGUAAUAC